GACGAACGCUGGCGGCGUGCUUAACACAUGCAAGUCGAACGGAAAGGCCCUGCUUUUGUGGGGUGCUCGAGUGGCGAACGGGUGAGUAACACGUGAGUAACCUGCCCUUGACUUUGGGAUAACUUCAGGAAACUGGGGCUAAUACCGGAUAGGAGCUCCUGCUGCAUGGUGGGGGUUGGAAAGUUUCGGCGGUUGGGGGUGGACUCGCGGCUUAUCAGCUUGUUGGUGGGGUAGUGGCUUACCAAGGCUUUGACGGGUAGCCGGCCUGAGAGGGUGACCGGCCACAUUGGGACUGAGAUACGGCCCAGACUCCUACGGGAGGCAGCAGUGGGGAAUAUUGCACAAUGGGCGGAAGCCUGAUGCAGCAACGCCGCGUGCGGGAUGACGGCCUUCGGGUUGUAAACCGCUUUCGCCUGUGACGAAGCGUGAGUGACGGUACUGGGUAAAGAAGCACCGGCUAACUACGUG
rnacentral:rRNA from 1 species